AGUCGAACGGAAAGGCCCUGCUUUUGUGGGGUGCUCGAGUGGCGAACGGGUGAGUAACACGUGAGUAACCUGCCCUUGACUUUGGGAUAACUUCAGGAAACUGGGGCUAAUACCGGAUAGGAGCUCCUGCUGCAUGGUGGGGGUUGGAAAGUUUCGGCGGUUGGGGAUGGACUCGCGGCUUAUCAGCUUGUUGGUGGGGUAGUGGCUUACCAAGGCUUUGACGGGUAGCCGGCCUGAGAGGGUGACCGGCCACAUUGGGACUGAGAUACGGCCCAGACUCCUACGGGAGGCAGCAGUGGGGAAUAUUGCACAAUGGGCGGAAGCCUGAUGCAGCAACGCCGCGUGCGGGAUGACGGCCUUCGGGUUGUAAACCGCUUUCGCCUGUAACAAAGCGUGAGUGACGGUAAUGGGUAAAGAAGCACCGGCUAACUACGUGCCAAGCAGCCCGCGGUGAUACGUAGGGUGCGAAGCGUUGUCCGGAUUUAUUGGGCGAAAAGGGCUCGUAGGUGGUUGAUCGCGUCGGAAGUGUAAUCUUGGGGCUUAACCCCUGAGCGUGCUUUCGAUACGGGUUGACUUGAGGAAGGUAGGGAAGAAUGGAAUUCCUGGUGGAGCGGUGGAAUGCGCAGAUAUCAGGAGGAACACCAGUGGCGAAGGCGGUUCUCUGGGCCUUUCCUGACGCUGAGGAGCGAAAGCGUGGGGAGCGAACAGGCUUAGAUACCCUGGUAGUCCACGCUGUAAACGGUGGGUACUAGGUGUGGGGUCCAUUCCACGGGUUCCGUGCCGUAGCUAACGCUUUAAGUACCCCGCCUGGGGAGUACGGCCGCAAGGCUAAAACUCAAAGGAAUUGACGGGGCCCCGCACAAGCGGCGGAGCAUGCGGAUUAAUUCGAUGCAACGCGUAGAACCUUACCUGGGUUUGACAUGGAUCGGGAGUGCUCAGAGAUGGGGUGUGCCUCUUUUUGGGGUCGGUUCACANGGUGGUGCAUGGCUGUCGUCAACUCGUGUCGUGAGAUGUUGGGUUAAGUCCCCCAACGAAGCGCAACCCUUGUUCACUGUUGCCACCACGUUAUGGUGGGGACUCAGUGGAAACCGCCGGGGUCAACUCGGAGGAAGGUGGGGAUGACGUCAAGUCAUCAUGCCCCUUAUGUCCAGGGCUUCACGCAUGCUACAAUGGCUGGUACAGAGAGUGGCGAGCCUGUGAGGGUGAGCGAAUCUCGGAAAGCCGGUCUCAGUUCGGAUUGGGGUCUGCAACUCGACCUCAUGAAGUCGGAGUCGCUAGUAAUCGCAGAUCAGCAACGCUGCGGUGAAUACGUUCCCGGGGCUUGUACACCACCGCCNNUCAAGUCAUGAAAGUUGGUAACACCCGAAGCCGGUGGCCUAA
rnacentral:rRNA from 1 species